rnacentral:rRNA from 2 species
GGGCGUUAAGUUGCAGGGUAUAGACCCGAAACCCGGUGAUCUAGCCAUGGGCAGGUUGAAGGUUGGGUAACACUAACUGGAGGACCGAACCGACUAAUGUUGAAAAAUUAGCGGAUGACCUGUGGCUGGGGGUGAAAGGCCAAUCAAACCGGGAGAUAGCUGGUUCUCCCCGAAAGCUAUUUAGGUAGCGCCUCGUGAAUUCAUCUCCGGGGGUAGAGCACUGUUUCGGCUAGGGGGCCAUCCCGGCUUACCAACCCGAUGCAAACUGCGAAUACCGGAGAAUGUUAUCACGGGAGACACACGGCGGGUGCUAACGUCCGUCGUGAAGAGGGAAACAACCCAGACCGCCAGCUAAGGUCCCAAAGUCAUGGUUAAGUGGGAAACGAUGUGGGAAGGCCCAGACAGCCAGGAUGUUGGCUUAGAAGCAGCCAUCAUUUAAAGAAAGCGUAAUAGCUCACUGGUCGAGUCGGCCUGCGCGGAAGAUGUAACGGGGCUAAAC